rnacentral:rRNA from 1 species
UACGUAGGGUCCAAGCAUUAUCCGGAAUUAUUGGGCGUAAAGAGCGUGUAGGUGUUCCUACAAGUCGGUCGUUAAAUCUCAGAGCUUAACUCUGAGACCGCGAGCGAUACUGUAGGAAUUGAGUUUUUCAGGGGCAAGCAGAAUUCCCAGAGUAGGGGUGAAAUCCGUUGAUACUGGGAGGAAUACCAAUGGCGAAGGCAGCUUGCUAGGAAAUGACUGACACUGAGACGCGAAAGCGUGGGGAGCAAACGGG